GCCAAAAAUGCAGAAGUCACGGGAGCCAGAAGGAGAGGACAAGUAAGAUGGAGAAUCCCUCUGUAGCUGGAGGAUAGGUAAGAUAUUCAGUACAUUUACUACAUGGGAAGGGACACAUAAACAGCUUUCCCAAACUGACUGCCAGCAAGAGUGCAUCUAGGAUUUUGAAAAAGGAGUGAAGUCAUGAUCAAGCCCUUCACAUCCAUGGCUGAGAGAACAUGUGAGACAGAAACCAAAAGGAGAAUUUAAAUAUUUACAAUAAAAAGUUGCACACUCCAUGUCAGGUGUCACAAGAUGAUGUCCUGCAGCUGAGAUGCAGUUUAGCUGAACUACGCAUGAUCUUGCCAGAUCCAGAAAACUCCUCCAUAGUGUGUGUAAGCAGAGAAUGCCUCCAGACAUUGUGUACAGUCCCUGUGAGCUACAAGGCUCAGCUUAUGAUGAGAAGGUUACUGGGCUGCUUUAACUCGAUGGACAUUGGAGUUGAAACAGAAUCUACAGGAAGCAGCAGACAAGCUACCAGGGGAGCAGUGAGUGCAGGACCUCCCAGUGUUGCAAUGGGACACUGAAGAAAAAAACAGAACACUGUCACCUUUGCCCUGCAGUGACAUCCUCUACAUUGUUCUGAUAGUUAGCUUGUGAUGUGCUUGCUGCUUUCACAGACCCAAGGAAGGGCAUUUUGUACCUGAAAGAUUGUCUAAUAUUUCUCUCAACCAUAAGUUGGUCCAAUAAAAGAUAUUACCUCACCUCA